rnacentral:lncRNA from 1 species
CCCAUUAACAAGGAAAAAAAGACAAAAGAAAUCCCAAGUCAGAAGGGAUACGGACUGAUCAUACAGAAGGGAAGAGGGGAUUCAGAAGCACCAUUAUCAUUCACUCACACACUACUUCUCUGACCGGUGACCACCCCAACCAGAUUUUCCCUUGCAUUCCCAAUUCUUCACCUCCAACGGAUCCAUGAUUCACCUGACCAAUCUCCAUUGCCAUCCUCCUUAAGGGAGAAGGAACACCUCACCAUCACAGCUUAGAAGAGAGCUCUCGACUCCUCUGACCUCCACCAUUAACCAAUCAUCUACUUCCAUUGCUCACUCUCAGCAUGACUUUCUUGCACCUGUAAAGUCCAACAAAAAGAAUACAAUCUCAGAAAAGGAACAAGAGACCGCAAGAAAAAAAGAAGAAGCAAAGACAACGAAACGAACUCCAGCAAGAGAGGAGAGGAAUUGAUAUUGUGGCAGUUAUUCAACAUCCACGGAAAAGAAAAACGAAGCCAGUAAAAAGAAGAGAGGAGCUAACGGUGGCAACCGGCCAAUAGUGGGUCAAGAAAUAUUGAAUGGUGAUGUAGGGAGAUUCCGAGGAAUACAAAUAACCUCUGAUUUUUUUCAGAUUUGGAGAGCAUCUGGAAUAACUAAUGAAUUACAACUCUAUUGUACUGCAAUUGGUGCAUUGGUCUUUGCAGCCUUNAUGNUUUUUGCUGGUUGGUUUCAUUAUCACAAAGCUGCUCCAAAAUUGACUUGGUUCCAAGAUGUAGAAUCUACGUUGAAUCACCAUUUGACAGGGCUCUUCAAGAAGUAAGUAUGCUUUGUUCACUUGUAUCUUCAUGUAAGCUUGCUGCAUUGUGCUUCAUAUUAUACAUGAUAUUGUUCUAUUUGGGAUUGAAUUGUUGUGAGAGUACUCUCCUUUUUCAUCCACCAAUGCAUAAUCACCCUCCCUCUUCAACCUGAGACCUCCGGCCGCAUUUCUUGCCUUUUAUUAAUAAUCUCAGCCCAAUCUUCAUCAACACAACUACUUCCAUAAUCUCAUCUUCAUACUCUACAACAUACAGAACACCCUCAUUCUCUUCAUUUUCCUAUCUCCAUUACCAAAGCCGAAAUGGCCCAACCAAACCCCCCAUCAACCUUGAUUUCUACUACAUGUCGUUUCCCUGCAAAAAAAAAACCAACCCAAACACCCUGAAUCAGUCACAACAACCACAAACCAGAUAAUCAAACCAUGCCCCCCACGCCUCGGUCCAUCUCCAAUAAUCAACAAUAAAAUUGAAUCAUUAGGAUAGAUGCUCACCAGAAAAGCACAAUAAAAAAAACAGAGUCAGUACCUUCGUCUUCACUAGAACCACUCCAUUCACGCUUAAAACCAUCAUCCUCAACCUGCACUGCAAAAAGUUACAAAAUAAGAAUCAACCACUCAACACCAGUCUCCAUUUUCAUUCAAUCUACAAAGAAACACACGCAAGGACAGAGAACCAAAUUUAUCUCCAUUCUUCUCCAUAAACCCCUGCAUCGCAACCAGUGUGUCACCUUCAUUCCCCAACUCACACAGAUUCACACAGGAACACCACAGUGUGUUCCUUUCACCUUUCGACUGCGUCAAUCGAAGCCAAUAGCCCAACACUCCCUACACCAUCGGAAAAACCCGCGCCCAGUCAAAAAGAGCUCGCGUUUCGGAGAGGAAGGAGGAUGCAGAGGUCGGCAAUGUGGUUGAACGGAGGACGCGCAGUGGCGGCGGUGUGACUGCUAGAUCCCGAUUUGAAUAUUGAAUGGAGGAGAGGAUGUCCCGGAAUGAAAAGGGCGAAUAAGGGGAGAGUUGCCUUGACGCCGGUAGGAUUCCUUGCGGUGACCGGAGCCACCGAUAACGGCCAGAGCUUGGCGGAACGUGGUCGCGCGGCGGUGUUGGCUCAGUGGAUGGCUGUGCGAUACGUAGAGGGAGAGAGAAAGUGGUGGCGCGGUGGCUGGCCGGACAGAAGCAAUAACGCCGGCGCCGCCAAGGCUGGCCGGAUGGGCGCGGUGGCUGUCAGAGGGGAGCGGCGGCAUGACGCGUUCAGGGGAGAUGACCCCAACCCUAGGCAAGUAGGUGCGGAGAGAGACUUGGAGUCUCAGAGGUGUUGGAGUGCAGAAUGGGGUGAGGAGGUUCGAACCCCUAAGGUUUCUGACCUUGGGAGAGAGGGGUGCCUAGGCCAUUGCUGGGCCACGAUAAAAAAUAACAAAAAGAUAACGGGCGUUACUCCCUGUACCUCUCCAAUUGCUGGGUCACACCCCUUUUCACUUGGGCUUAGGCCCAAUCUGCUAUCAGAAGCAAAAUUUGUCUGCACACUCCUGUUUUUUCCCUUUUCACCCCCUUCUCUUAUUUAAUUUGAUUGGUUUUUAUUUUAUUAUUUCACUAUAUACUUUAUUUUCAUCUUUAUCUUUAUUUUUUUAUUUAUCUUUUUAUUUUGUUUCUAUUUUACUUUUAUUUUUCCUUUUUUUUGUUUUAUUUUAUCUACUUUUAAAUAAAUAUUAAAAACAACAAAAAUAGUUUUAAAAGGUUAAAUCACACGUGCGAUCAUUUGUGUAGGCCUUGUGUUAAAAGUUUUUCUCCUUUUCUUUACAAAAAUAAUAAAUAUAUGUUUUAAUAGGUUAAAGCACACGUGUGACCAUUCGUGUAGGCCUUGUGCUAAAAUUCUUUCUCCUUAUUUUCACAAAAACACUAAAAAUAUGUUCAAAAGGUUAAAACAC